AUGAUUAGUCCUCUUUCUGUUGCUUGUUGGAAUGUGAGAGGUUUAAACAGCAGAGCCAGACGGGCUGCGGUGCGCGCCAUGCUUGACCAGUUGUCAUGCUCGAUCAUUUGCUUGCAGGAAUCCAAGCUAGCGACGGUUGCUGGAUCAUACAUCACCGAAAUUGCAGGACCCACUUUUGAUCAACACGCGGUGCUCCCUGCUGAUGGCACUCGGGGCAGUGUGCUGCUCUGCUGGCGCACG
rnacentral:rRNA from 1 species